CUUUUUCUCACUAAACAAUAAACUGCUCAAGGGCAGAGACCAUGUCCAUGUUAUUUCUCAUGAUAAAUCCAACACCAGCCUGCGCAACAUGGUGAACCCCCAUCUCUACAAAAAAUACAAAAAAAGAAAAAAAAAUGGCUGGCUACAAUGGCGUGCACCUGUGCUCCCAGCUACUGGGGAGACUGAGGCAGGUGAAUUCCUUGAGCCUGAGAGGUGGAGGUUGCAGUGAGGAAAUGUUAUUGAGUGAAUGAAUAAAUUAGCACUAGAAAAAAAGCAUGGACUUUGGAAGAGGACCAGAAUUUAAAACCAGACUAGAAGUGUAGAGUUGGGGGAACUCAACCCAUUUCCCACCACUUCCAUCGACCUCCUGUGGCAUCCUAAUGUUCAGAAGGAGAAGAACAUUCUAGAAGGAGAACAAAAUUCUAUCAGCAAGAAGUAUAAUACUCUUGUGCCAAAGGUGUGCACAAUCAGCCAAGUGACCUGAGAAAUGCAAGUCCUGGCUCUAUUGAGGUCAUCAAGGAGAAAGCAAGCCGCUGGCAAGUCAGGAAUCUGUCUCAAAGUAAACAUGUGGCUUGUGACCUUGAGGAUGUGCGUAUGUUUAUUGUUGGGGCAGUUGCUUUUUCCUUAUCUCUCACCAGCUCUCAAAAGACCUGUUUAAGUUUUCUGUAAGAGGAUAUAUCUCAUGUGCAGUUGCAAAUAUGCUUCUUUAUUCUUCUCUGG
rnacentral:lncRNA from 10 species